GGGUUUCUGCCGGGUUCGCCCUUGGCUCGGGCGGCCCCGGGUUUCCUUGUUUCGGCUUUUCCUGGGCCCGGGUCCUGCUCUGCUGCGGCCGCGGAUUCCGCUAGGGCGAAUUCCCACACUCUAACAACCAUUACUUGUGGAUCCAAGCUCAAUUCCCAAAUUAACAUUAUCAUAAUCGUUACUAUUUCCUAUAUAAUCUUAUUUUCCACUCCCCCUUCCCCUCCUCCUUCAAACCAACCACCUCCCAUAUUUUACCUAAAAUACCUCCUACAUACACUCCCUCCCCUUCCUUACAUUACACUCCCUACCCACUUUCCCAUCAAAACCCCUAUCAUACCCACUACUUUUUUAAUUCAACCCCCACACAAAAAAAAACAAUUUACAUCUUAAACAAUCUUCCACUUCCUCACUCCCUAACUCACUACACUCAAUUAUUUAACUACAAAAA
rnacentral:rRNA from 1 species